rnacentral:rRNA from 1 species
UACGGAGGGGGCAAGCGUUGUUCGGAAUUACUGGGCGUAAAGGGCGCGCAGGCGGCUGCUCAAGUCAGGCGUGAAAGGCCUGGGCUCAACCCGGGAAUUGCGCUUGAGACUGGGCUGGCUUGAGUGCGGAAGAGGCGAGUGGAAUUCCUGGUGUAGCGGUGAAAUGCGCAGAUAUCAGGAGGAACACCAAUUGCGAAGGCAGCUCGCUGGGACGUUACUGACGCUGAGACGCGAAAGCGUGGGGAGCAAACAGG